rnacentral:rRNA from 1 species
GAUGAACGCUGGCGGCGGGCCUAAUACAUGCAAGUCGAGCGAACGGACGAGAAUCUUGCUUCUCUGAUGUUAGCGGCGGACGGGUGAGUAACACGUGGAUAACCGACCUAUAGGACUGGGAUAACUUCGGGAAACCUGAUCUAAUACCGGAUAAUAUGUUGAACCGCAUGGUUCAAAAGUGAAAGACGGUCUUGCUGUCACUUAUAGAUGGAUCCGCGCUGCAUUAGCUAGUUGGUAAGGUAACGGCUUACCAAGGCAACGAUGCAUAGCCGACCUGAGAGGGUGAUCGGCCACACUGGAACUGAGACACGGUCCAGACUCCUACGGGAGGCAGCAGUAGGGAAUCUUCCGCAAUGGGCGAAAGCCUGACGGAGCAACGCCGCGUGAGUGAUGAAGGUCUUCGGAUCGUAAAACUCUGUUAUUAGGGAAGAACAUAUGUGUAAGUAACUGUGCACAUCUUGACGGUACCUACUCAGAAAGCAACGGCUAACUACGUG